CGCCCGACGCCAUCCGCCACCCCCGCUCGCCACGUCCCUGUCCAGGAAGAAGCCCGCCGGCGCGAGUUACAGUUUUGUUGAGAAGACAAAGCAUGUGAGAUUGAUGUUUUAAAUCAGCGAGGGGACUUGUGUCUUCGUCAUUGUUCGUAACGCUUCGUCAAGAAUAAUUGAAGCUUCAGUAGCGACGCCUCCAGCGCCUGGAAGAAGAAGGUCCUGGUCUUGUCGCUGUUGCUCUUCUGCAAGUUGCUCCUCCUCCGCCCGGAGCUGCUGCUGGUCGUGGUGGUGGACGCCGGCUGCUGCUGGUCGUGGUGGUGUUCUACGACUUUGCUUCCACCGCUGCUGCUGGUGGCCAACGCCGACGCCCUCCGAUCCCCGCCAUUGACCCCCGAGGCAUCCACCUCUGCUCGU